UGACGCUCAGUGCUGCCAUCUCGCUGAAGGGGCGGCUGGAAGGGAGCGGAACGAUUUUGUCUUUGGUUCAUCACGAAGAAGCGACAUCGGCUGCUCCGAUGGGGCCGUUUUUAGUGAGUUACACUUCAACCUGAAGCAAAGCGACGUGAAAGAAAGGGAAGGAAGAAAAGAAACCGACAACAGAUUUCUCGUCGUUUUGUUAUGGUUACAAGGGGUGAAACCGAAGCGAGCAGCAGAGGAGGGUUUGUUGGGUGUGAUGGGAGCAGGACUGAGGACCUUUAAAAGCAAACGGAGGCGGAUGGAUGCAGCCCCACAAACAGGGGGAUGGGAGCAGAAGUAUAAAAAGAAUAAAACAGUGCAUAUGCAUUUCCCUCCCCAAAAAAACAUUUAUUAUUAUUUCUUACAGGUGGUUUACAAUGCACCCCAAUGGAAGGGAGUGAAGCCAGCAGAGCUGUGUGCACUGUGCAGGUGCCUAUAGGGGGUGGUGGGAAGGAAACAACUCCUGCAACAGGUAGAAAACAUUGGCAAGAACAAAUAGAGUCUGGAAUCACCCACCUCUGGGUCCUCCCCCUGUACAACCGCAGUACAAAUAGGCACACAUGGUCGAGAUGGGUAAGUAAAGGAAAGGCUUUGAGCGAGCAGCUUGUUUGCCAUCUGCCUACAACUGUGUGGGUGCCUCGAGUCACAGCUCUGCUUUAGAUAAAUUCCCUUUUGGAAUUGGGAGCUUGAUGGUGGGAAGGGCCCAGCUCUGCUUGUGCAAUGAGAGCACUGAAAGCAGCUGCUAGGGCAGGAGAAAGAGUGAGACGUACACAGAGGGAACCUGGAUGCACCGGGUUGGUUUAUUAGAACUUUAUUCUGAGAGAAGGAAUCCCAAACAGCACAACAGUUUUGUUUCUCGUUUGAACAAGGUGGUAUUGAAUAUGCAAAAAGGGUUUAUUUGCACAACGCUGCUCCCAGCGGGCUCCUGCACCAACACAGCAAUGCUUAUGGCACACACAGCCAACCCAGCCACCACCAACCUCCCAAAGAGACAUUUCAAUGCCCAAAGUGGCUCAUCACCAACUGCCACCAAUUACAGUGAAAGCUUUAAGUGAUACCCCUGCAUGACAACACUCUUAUCUAUGAUCAGCUGCCUCCAUGCGCUCUAACACAUGAAUCCUCACCCAGAACAAGCAUCAGUGCCAUUUCUCCAUCGAUUUAAUGCACCUGGGGAAGCCUGAGUGCUCACAAGCAGCACAGACAGGAGAGCUGCACCGUGAUGCUCAUGGCAGCACAGCUGGGACAUCACUGAGCACCCAUCCUGUCAGUGCUGCUGUGCAGGAUCAACUGUGGAACAGACAACAAGAAAAUGCAACUGCAUAGAAGCAGGUUUAGCUACAAGGAAACAACGUGGGGUUUUCUCAAGGUGAGACUCGACAGAUUGAUGGCUGAGAGGAGCAGAAAUCAAAUAUAAAAUCCAAAGGAAUGGCUCCAAAUGGCUCCAAACACCAAAGGUUCCUCAGCUGUAGCACUGCCCCACUGGGUAUCACUUGGCCAACAGAGCAGAGCACUGUGAGAUGCCCAAAUAACCCUUCUGGAUGCACUGAAGAGAUAUGCAAGUGUUAGCACUAUGAAAGGUGAUUAGCAAAUUGUUUUAAUGCCUGUCGCACAAUGGGAUCAGAAUUGGUUGUGGACCCACGAUUCAGGUAAGAUAAUCUCACGACGAUCACAUUUUGGUGCUGUUGGAGAUUGUUACGGUAGGUUUUCAUUUCUCAACUGCUAAAUGGGUUUGGGAGACCUCGGAGAUUCUCAGCGACGUAAAGAAAACCUUUAAUUUGAAUCAACUCAUCCUCUAUUUUGCAACGAAAGACCACAGAAAGCAGCAGGGACUGAGCCCAAGGAGCUCCUCGGGACGGCUGUGCUGAGAUAAAGCAGAGGGCACAGGCUGUGUGGGAUGGACAGACUCCAAAGAGCAACUGGCAAGAAGGUUUGGACCAGGAAUUCAGCACUUAGAGCGCGGCUGAUCCUCAGAACACACAGCAGCUGGCUCUCGUAAGGCAACGCACGUCGUCCUGUGUACUAGAUAGGGCUGAAAGCUGAAGCAAAAGCAAUUCAGGGAGGGAACCCAUCUGAGAGCCAGCACCGAUGCCAGAGCUGCUGGCUGGAUGACCCUAUGGUACCCCAACACUGCAGAGAACAACCUGAAAAGCUCUUCUGUUAUUCUCUAUAACCACCCCACGCAGCCUGGAGCCUGAACCAGCACCUAAGGCACCCGGCAGCCUUCACUGCUCAUACCUGGGUGUGAAAGGAGAGGCUCAUUUCUCCCCAUUACUGCUUUGCUGAUCCCUCCUAUCCCAGACACCACAGCACUGUGCAUAUAUCACCACCUCAGCUGCAGGCAAGCUGCUCUUUAGAGAGUGAUCAUCAGUGAUGUUCAGUCCUCAGCACCACAUUCCCACUUCCCAACCUCUGCCAACAACAUUCCUCGUGUCCUUACAGUCAGCAGCCGGGACAGGCAACAUUCAAAUGAAGGCAGAAUUAAUGGCUCUCUAUGGAGAAACAUAUCAGAGUUAAGUUUUAUUUCAUAAAGCCACAGGUCUACCAGGCAGUACGUUUGUCUGACAUUACUCUCCAGUAACCAUUUGCUUUAAAAGCUUCUCAUCUCGGGGUAGUGACAUUCACAAAUAAUUCAGGGCUCCUUUUAAGUAACUCAACACAAAACCAGCUCCACUCUGAUCAAGGGCUUCAAGCCUUAAAAGCAGUUCAAGCAACACUCUGACCCCACUAUCGACCAGUGCAAACUGCCAGCACUAAAAGCUUCUGUCUCGGAUCAGAAAAAGGCACAUGCUUGCUCUCAAUGAGUUCAAGUCUGACCCAAGCAGCCCAGGACGCUGAAGGUAACAUGGGAGCUCUAUCAGUAUCUUCUGUACCAACCACCCAAUGACUGCAGCCAGAAAUCCACUGGAGCAUCUGUGUUUAGUAAAGGGGUCACAGAACCCCACAGCUCUGUUGUCUGACCUACUGAACCUGUCUGUCUUGAACCAGGAAAGGCUGCUUUGGGAUUCAGAGAACACAGAUGAUGGGGUUGAAU